rnacentral:rRNA from 1 species
AGUAGUUUGAUCAGUGGCUCAGAUCAAGCUGGCGGCGUGCCUCAGACAUGCAAGUCGAACGUAUUAAAGCUCUCUUCGGAGAGUGUAUAGAGUGGCGCACGGGUGAGUAACACGUAAGUAAUCUACCCUCGAGUGGGGAAUAACAACCGGAAACGGUUGCUAAUACCGCAUAAUGCAGCGGCACCGCAAGGUGACAGUUGUUAAAGAUUUAUCGCUUGAGGAGGAGCUUGCGGCAGAUUAGCUAGUUGGUAGGGUAACGGCUUACCAAGGCUACGAUCUGUAACCGGUCUAAGAGGACGGUCGGUCACACUGACACUGAAUAACGGGUCAGACUCCUACGGGAGGCAGCAGUCGGGAAUUUUGGGCAAUGGGCGAAAGCCUGACCCAGCAACGCCGCGUGAAGGAUGAAGUAUUUCGGUAUGUAAACUUCGAAAGAAUAGGAAGAAUUAAUGACGGUACUAUUUAUAAGGUCCGGCUAACUACGUG